rnacentral:rRNA from 1 species
UACGUAGGGGGCAAGCGUUGUCCGGAAUUAUUGGGCGUAAAGAGCGCGUAGGCGGUCCGGUAAGUCGGUUGUGAAAGUCGGGGGCUCAACCCUCGGAUGCCGAUCGAUACUGUCGGGCUAGAGUCCGGAAGAGGCGAGUGGAAUUCCUGGUGUAGCGGUGAAAUGCGCAGAUAUCAGGAGGAACACCAAUGGCGAAGGCAGCUCGCUGGGACGGUACUGACGCUGAGACGCGAAAGCGUGGGAGCAAACAGG